AUUGAGCGCUGGCGGCAGGCUUAACACAUGCAAGUCGAGCGGGGUGAGGUGCUUCGGUACUGAUCCUAGCGGCGGACGGGUGAGUAAUGCUUAGGAAUCUGCCAUUUAGUGGGGGACAACAUUCCGAAAGGAAUGCUAAUACCGCAUACGUCCUACGGGAGAAAGCAGGGGAUCUUCGGACCUUGCGCUAAAUGAUGAGCCUAAGUCGGAUUAGCUAGUUGGUGGGGUAAAGGCCUACCAAGGCGACGAUCUGUAGCGGGUCUGAGAGGAUGAUCCGCCACACUGGGACUGGGACACGGCCCAGACUCCUACGGGAGGCAGCAGUGGGGAAUAUUGGACAAUGGGCGGAAGCCUGAUCCAGCCAUGCCGCGUGUGUGAAGAAGGCCUUUUGGUUGUAAAGCACUUUAAGCGAGGAGGAGGCUACCUGGAUUAAUACUCUGGGAUAGUGGACGUUACCCGCAGAAUAAGCACCGGCUAACUCUGUGCCAGCAGCCGCCGCCGUAA
rnacentral:rRNA from 1 species